AGGCUCGCUUCGGCGGGUC
rnacentral:snRNA from 1 species